AGGGCACCACCAGGAGUGGAGCCUGCGGCUUAAUUUGACUCAACACGGGAAAUCUCACCAGGCCCGGACACUGGAAGGAUUGACAGAUUGAGAGCUCUUUCUUGAUUCAGUGGGUGGUGGUGCAUGGCCGUUCUUAGUUGGUGGAGCGAUUUGUCUGGUUAAUUCCGGUAACGAACGAGACUCUGGCCUACUAACUAGACGUUAGAUCCUUUAUGGGUUCGACGAUGCUUCUUAGAGGGACGGGCGGCUUUUAGCCGCACGAGAAUGAGCAAUAACAGGUCUGUGAUGCCCUUAGAUGUUCUGGGCUGCACGCGCGCUACACUGAAGAAAUCAGCGUGUGUUCCCUAUCCGAAAGGUUUGGGAAACCCGUUGAACCUUCUUCGUGAUGGGAUUGGGGAUUGUAAUUAUUCCCCAUGAACGAGGAAUUCCCAGUAGGCGCGAGUCAUAAGCUUGCGUCGAUUACGUCCCUGCCCUUUGUACACACCGCCCGUCGCUACUACCGAUCGAGUGAUUUAGUGA
rnacentral:rRNA from 1 species